CAGUAGCCGCGGGAAUACGUAGGGUGCGAGCGUUAAUCGGAAUUACUGGGCGUAAAGCGUGCGCAGGCGGUUCGUUAAGACAGAUGUGAAAUCCCCGGGCUUAACCUGGGAACUGCAUUUGUGACUGGCGAGCUAGAGUAUGGCAGAGGGGGGUAGAAUUCCACGUGUAGCAGUGAAAUGCGUAGUGAUGUGGAGGAAUACCGAUGGCGAAGGCAGCCCCCUGGGCCAAUACUGACGCUCAUGCACGAAAGCGUGGGGAGCAAACAGGAUUAGAUACCCCCGUAGUCCCUGUCUCUUAUAC
rnacentral:rRNA from 1 species